CCUGAGAAACCCGAAAGGUCGAAAGAAGAAAUUCAUUCGUGUUUCGAUGUAAGCGUUGAACGGUGCGUGUGACGGAAUAGGCAACUAUUUCGCACCCUUCGUUUACCGAUCUUGCGACGAACGCGUGCACUUUUCUUCUGGUAGGACGUCGCGAUCCGUUGGGCGUCGGUUUACGACUGUUGCGGUGGAGCCCGUUUGUAACGUUUUCGGACGUUUCUUACUUACGGACCCGCUCGUUCUGACCGACUCGCUCGACGGUAUAAGAUAACGGUCAAGGGCCGCUCUUUGGAGCGUUCGACUCGUAGCAAGCGCGCUAGUAUGAUUGGCCAUCGGACCUAGUGCCGAUUUCGAUCCCUAGUGACUGUUGGCUGCGAUGUUCUCGAACAGACUCUUACACACAAUAUAAGACCGAUCUGCGGCGCUAUAGCUUUGGGUAAUUUCAGGACCCGUCUUGAAACACGGACCAAGGAGUCUAGCAUGUACGCGAGUCAUUGGGAAUUAUUAAACCUAAAGGCGCAAUGAAAGUGAAGAUCUUUCUUUACGAAAGAUCAAGGGAAGAUGAUCGAUCUCAUGAGAUCGUUUCGCAUUCCCGGGGCGUCUCGUUCUCAUUGCGAGAAGAGGCGCACCAAGAGCGUACACGCUGGGACCCGAAAGAUGGUGAACUAUGCCUG
rnacentral:rRNA from 1 species